AGAUCCAAGGCAGCCGUCACCAACCCACAACUGUGUCUCCGAGAAAAGUACUGGACCAGGUGUGUACCGGACCAGUGUAUUAAACCAACAGCCCAGUACAGUCUUUACUGGUCCCCAACCCCGUAAUAUGAAUAACCAAUUCCCUUUGUUCUCUCCGUAAGAACUCUGCACCGGCCCAGAUUAAUGGAGACAGAAUGGAGACUUCAAUGGAGCCAACUUUAGACCAGCAAGGUUCCUUUGAAACUCGCAGCGGAAGGCUGUAUUUCCGUGGGAGGAACGCCGCUUUCGGUUAAGCUGUUAUAAAGACAUGUACGGGGGCACCGUAACAUUCCCACCGAGAUGAUCGACAAUCCCAUUCUUCGAGGCUGACGACAGAGAGCCAUCUGGCACAAACCUCCGAUUAAGCUUUGUUACUGAUUAUAGAUAUUAGUUGCGCACAUCUGUGCCUGUCAAUGCUUUCCGAGUGUGCUUGUCAAUUUCGGCUAAAAAUAUAGAAAACAUUGUGUUCUUGUUUACGAGUUGACACAUUUGAUCCGCAGCCAUAUUUUUCAUCAUCUGAAAUAUAACAGCUUCUGAGAUUGUGCACCC